UUGGAUCCAUUGGAGUCAAGCUGCCUGGAAUCAACUUCUAGUUGUGGAUUGGGGGCUCCAUAGUGCUGGUCUUCCAUCCUAUCAUGAAGCUCUGUUCCCCUUCUCUAACCAAAUGAUACUUACCUUAACAUCAUGGGAACUCACCUCUGGAGCCCUUCUGUGUGGAACCUUCAUAAACUUCCUUGCAUUGUCCUGCCCGAUGAAGCUUAGAACCUCGGAACCCAUCUUGAACCCAAGAGUUCCACUAGAACAGCAUCUGUUCAACAUCUUUCUUCUUACCAGGACUCCCAAAGGUAAGUCUCCUGUUUUCUUAACUGCA